rnacentral:rRNA from 1 species
AUACGUAGGGGGCGAGCGUUGUCCGGAAUGAUUGGGCGUAAAGGGCGCGUAGGCGGCCCGGUAAGUCUGGAGUGAAAGUCCUGUUUUUAAGAUGGGAAUUGCUUUGGAUACUGUCGGGCCCGAGUGCAGGAGAGGUAAGUGGAAUUCCCAGUGUAGCGGUGAAAUGCGUUAGAUUGGGAGGAACACCAGUGGCGAAGGCGACUUACUGGACUGUAACUGACGCUGAGGCGCGAAAGUGUGGGGAGCAAACAGGAUUAGAUACCCUGGUAGUCCACACUGUAAACGAUGAAUGCUAGGUGUAGGGGGUAUCGACCCCUUCUGUGCCGCAGUCAACACAAUAAGCAUUCCGCCUGGGGAGUACGGCCGCAAGGUUGAAACUCAAAUGAAUUGACGGGG